rnacentral:misc_RNA from 1 species
AAGGGGGUUGUUAUAAAUUUGUACCAAUCAUUUCAAAGCUUUUCAAACUAUUUCUUCCUUUGGACUGUAGUCUGUGGACGAAAACCAUCCAAAAGAAGAAUGUUUGCUGUAAAAUUUUUAUUCAGGCUCUAAAGUCUUGCUUUUAUUCAAGUAAAGAACAACACCCAGAAGCCAAAACCAAGAUUGCUGCCUCUCUAUAUCAAAAAUCAACGAAGAAAGAGCUGACAUUGGUGUUGCAUGGACAAAGCAUCGACAAUAACAACAUUGACAGCAAGGAGGCCAAAAUGGCAAUACCCACCAGCGCCACCAACACCAAGAAUCCUGCAUUCGCCUCGCAGGAAACCACCAACGAAGGCUAGUGCUGCCAAGUCUGGUUCACAAAGAAACAGGAAAGGUAAGCUGGAGACUCUGUUUGAUCAAGAAAGAGAGUUUA